UUCCGGCUUCAGCAGCGCCUCCACAGCACACAGUCCAGCACCAGGUCCACCUUUAAACACCAGGUUCAGGGAUUCUCCCCACGUUACGGCCCGAAUCAGCAGGUUCAGGGAUUCUCCCCACGUUACGGCCCGAAUCAGCAGGUUCAGGGAUUCUCCCCACGUUACGGCCCGAAUCAGCAGGUUCAGGGUUUAACACCUCAACUUAGCUACAGGUGCACUUCAGUAUUGCUUUGGGUCACA